CGGCGAGCGCCGUCCGAUUGGCCGAGGGGCGGGGCCACCGCGGGAACUUUCGGCGGCGGUCGCCUUGGCAACGGCGGCGGGGGCCCCGGCCGGACGGCCUGCGACGCGCACCCGGGGGCGCGCGGCAGCGGUUUCUGAACCCGCGCCGCCGCCUCGGGCUUGGGCCCCCGCGGGCGCUGCUGUGCUCCGUGAGGCCGCGACUCAAAGGCCCUGUGAGCGUGGUUGACGAGGGCUGCCCGGGGCCCUCCUCGCACCCUGACCCUCGUCCUCCCCAACUUCCGCCCCAGCACCACCUCCUGAGUGACGGCCUGCCCUGGGGCCUAUUGCACGCGGCACACGCGGUGAUCAGUCCCAACAGCGCCGGUCAAAAGCAGGAACGGCCUCAGUCGGUGGGCGGACUGCUGCCUGCUGAUACUGCCUGGUAGGCUGUUGCUGGCAUGUCCACUGCUGUGUAAGUGACACCAAAGGAUUUGUAAAAGGAAGUUUUACGUCUCCAGAUGUUGAAUGAUGGUCUCAUUGAACAAUUUUGGAGGUUCCACUGAGAGUGUCUUGAAGAUCCUCAUUUGGCAGCAUUCCUGGGGACCCUCGGACCAACAGAUUUUCUGGAAACCCUCCUUAGGUCUCUGCAAAGGCUUACAGUGGGAGAGCUAGAUACAGUACUGCUGUUUGAAAUUUUUCAAAAUGAAAAGUUGCUGGGAGAGAGGAAGCUGCUUGUCUUCCUCUUCCUCUCUGCACCUUCCCGCUGAUGGGGACGUGCCAAUUAGCCAGUGACAACCUUGCAUUUAGAGAUGAA